AGUUAACAAAACGAAAUGCACGUGAGACCCUUCUACUUUUUUCCGAAUCGUAAUUAUCGCCUGACUGGUGAGAGUGUAAAUCAAUGUUGUUACUUCAUCUCCUCCGCCAUUCGGCUUCACGUUUAGUUUUCCCUCAUUAACGACUUUACCUGCUACUCUCACUUUGUAUCCUUGGCGUUCGCACUAACGCCAAUCGACACAAAUAUCAACUCUUAAUUGGUAUCGUUGAUAGCUUGUGCCGUUGUCACGCUUUCAACGUUACUAUUUGUCGCCUUUUUCAUCCUUUACUCAGAUGUUUUUAUGUAUCACUAUGUUAUGCAUUUAUGAUUUGUUUUAUUGCUAGUUCAUGUUGCAGUUUCACAACAUCACUCAUCACGGCUUACCUUUUCCCAUAAUUUGUGUGAUAUGGGUAUCGUCUCACUUAUUCACAGACUGACCCUUUUCCCCAUAACUAUGGAUGUAGGUACUGCCACCAUUUAGUCGCACCCUUUUGGGUUCGAGACCUACAUUAGUUGGUUGUGGUUUGGUUGUGGUUAUUUAAUUAGUAAGUUGAGUCGUCACAUAGACCAAUUAAAACCGCUAACGAAGCCAAUGAAAUUUGAUAAGGACAUAGUGGAUACGCCGCUGGUACUUCCUAUAUAUAAGUGUUCUUAUCAAACUAUCAAAAGCCUCGUUAGAUUGGUCGAGAGAGGUUCUACGUAAGUUGUGUUUAUGUCGUCAGUCAUGAUCCGAAAAACGAAGCCGAUGAAACUUGAUAAGGACAUGGUGGAUACGCCGCUGGUACUUCCUAUAUAUAAGUUGUGUCUGUCAAAUUUUCAAAAGCAGCGUUAGACUAAUCAUGAGUGUUUUAGUUAGUUUGUUUUGGUUUUGUGAUUGGAGAAUUCAAAUUCUAUGAUUUCGCUAAUCUAACUCACAUUGUCGCAUUUUAUGAGAAAUACAUCAAGAUCCUAGGUCGUGACACAGAUUGUAGUUUUGGCAUCACGAGUAUCCUUUGCGACUCGGUUGCAAACUCUUCAGUGUUACAGGACAUCUGUGGGACACGAUUUUCUCUUAAGCCGUAACUAAUUCUCGAUUGGUCAUUUAUGGGCUUAACGAUUGUA
rnacentral:lncRNA from 1 species